GCCGGGUGUGGUGGUGCAACCCUGUAAUCCCAGUGGCUUGGGAGGCUGAGACAGGAGGAUCAUGAGUUCAAAGCCAGCCUCAGCAAAAGCAAGGUGCUAAGCAACUCAGUGAGAGCCUGUCUCUA
rnacentral:sRNA from 1 species